GACGAACGCUGGCGGCGUGCUUAACACAUGCAAGUCGAGCGAUGAAGCACCUUCGGGUGUGGAUUAGCGGCGAACGGGUGAGGAACACGUGAAGAAUCUGCCUUCAACUCUGGGAUAACUCCGGGAAACCGGGGCUAAUACCGGAUAUGAGCCUUGGCCGCAUGGCCGGGGCUGGAAAGUUUUUCGGUUGAAGAUGACUUCGCGGCCUAUCAGCUUGUUGGUGAGGUAAUGGCUCACCAAGGCGACGACGGGUAGCCGGCCUGAGAGGGCGACCGGCCACACUGGGAAUGAGACACGGCCCAGACUCCUACGGGAGGCAGCAGUGGGGAAUAUUGGGCAAUGGAGGAAACUCUGACCCAGCGACGCCGCGUGAGGGAUGAAGGCCUUCGGGUUGUAAACCUCUUUCAGCUAUGACGAAGCGCAAGUGACGGUAGUAGCAGAAGAAGGACCGGCCAACUACGUGCCAGCCGCCGCGGUAA
rnacentral:rRNA from 1 species